AGUGAACGCUGGCGGCGUGCUUAACACAUGCAAGUCGAACGAGAACGGGUUAUAGCUUGCUAUAAUUGUCAGCUAAGUGGCGCACGGGUGAGUAAUGUAUAGGUAAUAUGCCUCUUACUAAGGGAUAACAAAUGGAAACGUUUGCUAAUACCUUAUACUCCUUAUUAACAGAAGUUAAUAAGGGAAAGAUUUAUUGGUAAGAGAUUAGCCUGUAUUGUAUCAGUUAGUUGGUGGGGUAAUGGCUUACCAAGACUAUGACACAUAACUGGUUUGAGAGGAUGAUCAGUCACACUGGAACUGAGACACGGUCCAGACUCCUACGGGAGGCAGCAUUGGGGAAUACUGCACAAUGGACGAAAGUCUGAUGCAGCAACGCCGCGUGGAGGAUGACACAUUUCGGUGCGUAAACUCCUUUUAUAUGAGAAGAUAAUGACGGUAUUAUAUGAAUAAGCACCGGCUAACUCCGUGCCAGCCGCCGCCGUAA
rnacentral:rRNA from 1 species